AUUGAACGCUGGCGGCAUGCCUUACACAUGCAAGUCGAACGGCAGCACGGGUGCUUGCCCCUGGUGGCGAGUGGCGAACGGGUGAGUAAUACAUCGGAACAUGUCCUGUAGUGGGGAAUAGCCCGGCGAAAGCCGGAUUAAUACCGCAUACGAUCUACGGAUGAAAGCGGGGGACCUUCGGGCCUCGCGCUAUAGGGUUGGCCGAUGGCUGAUUAGCUAGUUGGUGGGGUAAAGGCCUACCAAGGCGACGAUCAGUAGCUGGUCUGAGAGGACGACCAGCCACACUGGGACUGAGACACGGCCCAGACUCCUACGGGAGGCAGCAGUGGGGAAUUUUGGACAAUGGGCGAAAGCCUGAUCCAGCAAUGCCGCGUGUGUGAAGAAGGCCUUCGGGUUGUAAAGCACUUUUGUCCGGAAAGAAAUCCUUGGCCCUAAUACGGUCGGGGGAUGACGGUACCGGAAGAAUAAGCACCGGCUAACUACGUG
rnacentral:rRNA from 1 species